AUAGUACUCCCUCCGUCCAGAAAUACUUGAUCGAGGAAUUGAUGAAUCUAGAUGUAUUUUAGUUCUAGAUACAUCCAUUCGUAUCCAUUUCUCCGACAAGUAUUUCCGAACGAAGGGAGUAGUAU
rfam:Triticum aestivum genome assembly, contig: Triticum_aestivum_CS42_TGACv1_scaffold_306404_4AS